CGACAUCGUGCCCGUGGUGCCCUGGCACGGCCGCGGCUCCAACGACACCUUCGGCCUUUACUGCUCCAGCUGCCUCCUCCUGAUCCGCCCGAACCGCGACAUCUGCUCCCAGUCCGGCGGGGGCACGAACGUGGCGGAGAAAAUCAUCUUCCUGCUCUACGUGCUGCUGGUGCUCGGCUGCUGCUCGGUGAGGCUCGG